GUCAAAUUUUCCCAGCGGCUCGAUUUUUUUUUCUGCGAGUUGUUUUGCCCCCGCGACGCAUUUUUCUCGCACCUCCAAACCCGCGCGCUCAUUCCACGUCACCCUGUUUAGGCGGUUCGUCGUGUUGCAUUGAAACGCGGUGCUUCGUACUCCAUCGUGACGGAAGACACACGGAUCUCACGAAUAUCAAAGUGCCAAAGAGCUCCCAGGAGCUGUCACUGGUCCACACUACGACAAUCGACAAUCCCCAGAACGGUCCGAAGGCCACACAGUAUCGUGCACGUACUUUGUCGGUUCGAGUUAUCAAUAACACGACGCAGCUACCACGUGCGAACGACCAGCGAUUGUUUAAGCGCAGGACAUAAAGCUCGAGCUGUCAGUACAACCGUCGGUGCUCAGCAACAGUUGUUUUGUCGGUCGUUUUGAGCUCGCAAAGCUAAGGCCUUCGCAUAAGUCUUCUCUUUGAGCGGCAAGAGACAGGUCACUUCGAACUUAUCAUUAGAAGCUCGUCUACUACGAUUUGCUCGGGCCAUUUGUUUGGCGGUUCAUCCUGCAUCGCGACAUCGGCGUUUCCGUCCUUUCGCAAAGAGCCCAGCCUAUACCCGUAGCUAACGGAGAAAGCGGAGCGUCUGUGACCCACUUGCCUUAUCAACUGACGGACCCGGAAAUUUCGGUCACGAUCUCUUGAGAUUUUCUUCACGCUCGUAGAACGAACGGGCUGUGCGGCGAAUCUCGAAAUUCGAUCAGCAAUCGGGAUACUGCGACGGUGCAACGACUAGAUUGACGUCGUCAUAUUUGGGUAUUGAUCGGUGGUCAGGGCGUCCC